rnacentral:rRNA from 1 species
CGAGUGAAGCGGGAAGAGCUCAAAUUUGAAAUCUGGUAGCCUUCGGCUGCCCGAGUUGUAAUCUAGAGAAGUGUUUUCCGUGCCGGCCCAUGUACAAGUCCCUUGGAACAGGGCGUCAUAGAGGGUGAGAAUCCCGUCCUUGACAUGGACCCCCGGUGCUUUGUGAUACACUUUCAACGAGUCGAGUUGUUUGGGAAUGCAGCUCAAAAUGGGUGGUGAAUUCCAUCUAAAGCUAAAUAUUGGCGAGAGACCGAUAGCGAACAAGUACCGUGAGGGAAAGAUGAAAAGCACUUUGGAAAGAGAGUUAAACAGUACGUGAAAUUGUUGAAAGGGAAACGAUUGAAGUCAGUCAUGCUCUUUGGAUUCAGCCGUUCUGCGGUGUAUUUCCAUUGAGUGGGGUCAACAUCAGUUUUGACCGCUGGAUAAAGGCACUAGGAAGGUAGCACUCUCGGGUGAACUUAUAGCCUAGCGUCAUAUACAGUGGUUGGGACUGAGGAACGCAGCAUGCCUUUAUGGCCGGGAUUCGUCCACGUACAUGCUUAGGAUGUUGACAUAAUGGCUUUAAACGACCCGUC